rnacentral:tRNA from 1 species
GGGGUUGGGGAUUUAGCUCAGUGGUAGAGCGCUUGCCUAGGAAGCGCAAGGCCCUGGGUUCGGUCCCCAGCUCCGAAAAAAAAA